CCUACGGGGGGCAGCAGUGAGGAAUAUUGGUCAAUGGGCGCGAGCCUGAACCAGCCAAGUAGCGUGAAGGAUGACGGCCCUACGGGUUGUAAACUUCUUUUGUCAAGGAGUAAAAGGGGGCACGUGUGGCUUUUUGAGUGUACUUUAUGAAUAAGGAUCGGCUAACUCCGUGCCAGCAGCCGCGGUAAUACGGAGGAUCCGAGCGUUAUCCGGAUUUAUUGGGUUUAAAGGGAGCGCAGAGGGGAUGUUAAGUCAGUUGUGAAAGUUGGGGGCUCAACCGUCAAAGUGCCAUUGAAACUGGUAUUAUUGAGUGAGCGUGAGGUAGGCGGAAUGCGUGGUGUAGCGGUGAAAUGCAUAGAUAUCACGCAGAACUCCGAUUGCGAAGGCAGCAUACUAACGUUCCACUGACAUUGAUGCUCGAAAGUGUGGGUAUCGAACAGGAUUAGAUACCCGAGUAGUC
rnacentral:rRNA from 1 species